UACGGAAGGCAGCAGUGGGGAAUAUUGCACAAUGGGCGAAAGCCUGAUGCAGCUAUGCCGCGUGUAUGAAGAAGGCCUUAGGGUUGUAAAGUACUUUCAUCGGGGAGGAAAAAACAAAACUAAUAAUUUUAUUUCUUGACGUUACCCGAAAAAGAAGCACCGGCUAACUCCGUGCCAGCAGCCGCGGUAAUACGGAGGGUGCUAGCGUUAAUCAGAAUUACUGGGCGUAAAGAGCACGUAGGUGGUUUUUUUAAGUCAGAUGUGAAAUCCCUGGGCUUAACCUAGGAACUGCAUUUUGAAACUGAAAUACUAGAGUAUCGUAGAGGGAGGUAGAAUUCUAGGUGUAGCGGUGAAAUGCGUAGAUAUCUGGAGGAUACCUGUGGCGAAAGCGGCCUCUAAACGAAUACUGACACUGAGGUGCGAAAGCGUGGGGAGCGAAACAGGGAUUAGGAU
rnacentral:rRNA from 1 species